rnacentral:tRNA from 1 species
GAGGGUAUGGCUCAGUGGUAGAGUGCAUGCUUAGCAUACAUGAGGUCCUGGGUUCAAUCCCUGGUACCUUCA